AUUGAACGCUGGCGGAAUGCUUUACACAUGCAAGUCGAGCGGCAGCGCGGGGGCAACCCUGGCGGCGAGCGGCGAACGGGUGAGUAAUACAUCGGAACGUGUCCUUAAGUGGGGGAUAGCUCGGCGAAAGCCGGAUUAAUACCGCAUAAGCUCUGAGGAGGAAAGCGGGGGAUUCGCAAGGACCUCGCGCUGUUGGAGCGGCCGAUGUCGGAUUAGCUAGUUGGUGGGGAAAGGCCCACCAAGGCGACGAUCCGUAGCUGGUCUGAGAGGAUGAUCAGCCACACUGGAACUGAGACACGGUCCAGACUCCUACGGGAGGCAGCAGUGGGGAAUUUUGGACAAUGGGGGCAACCCUGAUCCAGCCAUUCCGCGUGAGUGAAGAAGGCC
rnacentral:rRNA from 1 species